rnacentral:misc_RNA from 1 species
AAAGUCGUAACAAGGUCUCCGUAGGUGAACCUGCGGAGGGAUCAUCAAAGAAUUUAACAUAAAACCACAAGUGUUUUGGGGGGAAAGAGAGAUUUCGGUCUCUUUUUUUCUCCUUGGCACUUCAAACAAACGAUCGCAACUAAAAUGUGUCUUUAUGAGGGGAAAAAGUGUUUGCCUGAUAAACAUUGGAUUGGAAAUGAGAAAUAUACAACUUUCAACAACGGAUCUCUUGGCUCUC